rnacentral:misc_RNA from 1 species
UUAACGAUUAAGUUUUUCAGACUGAAGGUUUAUAGUUUGGUCUCCGGCGCCGAAGCGCCGAAGCAACAGGGAAGUAAACAUGGGUUGGAGUUGCCUAAGCAUCUCUGUAAUGAUCCUUCCGCAGGUUCACCUACGGAAA